rnacentral:rRNA from 1 species
AGCUAAUAGAUACCCCGGUAGUCCUAGCUGUAAACGAUGACCACCUAGGUGUGUAGAGUAUCGACCCUCUGCGUGCCGCAGUUAACACAAUAAGUGGUCCGCCUGGGGAGGUACGGUCGCAGAUUAAAACUACAAGAAUUAGACGGGGACCCGGCACAAGCAGCGGAGCGUGUGGUUUAAUUUACGAUGCAACGCGAAGAACCUUACCAGGGUUUGACAUACAAGUGCACCAGCCAGCGAUGGCUGUCCCCGCAAGGGGCGCUUGCACAGGUGCUGCAUGGCUGUCGUCAGCUCGUGCCGUGAGGUGUUGGGUUUAAGUCCCGCAACGAGCGCAACCCUUAUGACUAGUUGCAGCUUUCUAGUCAGACUGCCGCGUUCAACGCGGAGGAAGGUGGGGAUGACGUCAAGUCAGCACGGCCCUUACGUCCUGGGCUACACACACGCUACAAU